UACGAAGGGGGCUAGCGUUGCUCGGAAUCACUGGGCGUAAAGGGUGCGUAGGCGGGUCUUUAAGUCAGGGGUGAAAUCCUGGAGCUCAACUCCAGAACUGCCUUUGAUACUGAAGAUCUUGAGUUCGGGAGAGGUGAGUGGAACUGCGAGUGUAGAGGUGAAAUUCGUAGAUAUUAGGAAGAACACCAGUGGCGAAGGCGGCCAACUGGUCCGGUACUGACGCUGAGGUGCGAAAGCGUGGGGAGCAACAGGG
rnacentral:rRNA from 1 species